rnacentral:rRNA from 1 species
AUGAACGCUAGCUACAGGCUUAACACAUGCAAGUCGAGGGGCAGCAUGGUCUUAGCUUGCUAAGACUGAUGGCGACCGGCGCACGGGUGAGUAACACGUAUCCAACCUGCCGUCUACUCUUGGACAGCCUUCUGAAAAGGAAGAUUAAUACAAGAUGGCAUCAUGAGUCCGCAUGUUCACAUGAUUAAAGGUAUUCCGGUAGACGAUGGGGAUGCGUUCCAUUAGAUAGUAGGCGGGGUAACGGCCCACCUAGUCUUCGAUGGAUAGGGGUUCUGAGAGGAAGGUCCCCCACAUUGGAACUGAGACACGGUCCAAACUCCUACGGGAGGCAGCAGUGAGGAAUAUUGGUCAAUGGACGAGAGUCUGAACCAGCCAAGUAGCGUGAAGGAUGACUGCCCUAUGGGUUGUAAACUUCUUUUAUACGGGAAUAAAGUGAGGCACGUGUGCCUUUUUGUAUGUACCGUAUGAAUAAGGAUCGGCUAACUCCGUG